rnacentral:rRNA from 1 species
CACGUGGGUAACCUGCCUGUAAGACUGGGAUAACUCCGGGAAACCGGGGCUAAUACCGGAUGGUUGUUUGAACCGCAUGGUUCAAACAUAAAAGGUGGCUUCGGCUACCACUUACAGAUGGACCCGCGGGCAUUAGCUAGUUGGUGAGGUAACGGCUCACCAAGGCAACGAUGCGUAGCCGACCUGAGAGGGUGAUCGGCCACACUGGGACUGAGACACGGCCCAGACUCCUACGGGAGGCAGCAGUAGGGAAUCUUCCGCAAUGGACGAAAGUCUGACGGAGCAACGCCGCGUGAGUGAUGAAGGUUUUCGGAUCGUAAAGCUCUGUUGUUAGGGAAGAACAAGUACCGUUCGAAUAGGGCGGUACCUUGACGGUACCUAACCAGAAAGCCACGGCUAACUACGUGCCAGCAGCCGCGGUAAUACGUAGGUGGCAAGCGUUGUCCGGAAUUAUUGGGCGUAAAGGGCUCGCAGGCGGUUUCUUAAGUCUGAUGUGAAAGCCCCCGGCUCAACCGGGGAGGGUCAUUGGAAACUGGGGAACUUGAGUGCAGAAGAGGAGAGUGGAAUUCCACGUGUAGCGGUGAAAUGCGUAGAGAUGUGGAGGAACACCAGUGGCGAAGGCGACUCUCUGGUCUGUAACUGACGCUGAGGAGCGAAAGCGUGGGGAGCGAACAGGAUUAGAUACCCUGGUAGUCCACGCCGUAAACGAUGAGUGCUAAGUGUUAGGGGGUUUCCGCCCCUUAGUGCUGCAGCUAACGCAUUAAGCACUCCGCCUGGGGAGUACGGUCGCAAGACUGAAACUCAAAGGAAUUGACGGGGGCCCGCACAAGCGGUGGAGCAUGUGGUUUAAUUCGAAGCAACGCGAAGAACCUUACCAGGUCUUGACAUCCUCUGACAAUCCUAGAGAUAGGACGUCCCCUUCGGGGGCAGAGUGACAGGUGGUGCAUGGUUGUCGUCAGCUCGUGUCGUGAGAUGUUGGGUUAAGUCCCGCAACGAGCGCAACCCUUGAUCUUAGUUGCCAGCAUUCAGUUGGGCACUCUAAGGUGACUGCCGGUGACAAACCGGAGGAAGGUGGGGAUGACGUCAAAUCAUCAUGCCCCUUAUGACCUGGGCUACACACGUGCUACAAUGGACAGAACAAAGGGCAGCGAAACCGCGAGGUUAAGCCAAUCCCACAAAUCUGUUCUCAGUUCGGAUCGCAGUCUGCAACUCGACUGCGUGAAGCUGGAAUCGCCUAGUAAUCGCGGAUCAGCAU